CGGCAUACAUGAAUAUUCAAGUACAUAGAAUUAGUUGAGCAAUUAGAUGCUCUCUCAGUUCCACAUAGACCAUAAACCUGCAAGUACAAUCACUUCUUCCACCACUUUUCUCUAGUACCACUACCACUAGUCUCACUACUAUAGUAAUACUACUACCACUGUUUGCAUCAAAAGCAGAUUCAAGGUAUCCCCAGAUCUAGCCAUUGCUUCAGACAUAGCAAACAGAAAUAGAAAUAACCCACAAAAAAAAAAAAAAAAAGCAGCUAACCCUAAAUAUGCUACUAAAAUACCAUAACUCGUACUAAAAGAAAAACGAAAAGAAAAGUACCCACAUACAAGGUAA
rnacentral:misc_RNA from 1 species